CAGCACUUUCUAGUGAGGUUGGCAUCUGUUCAGCAGGACACAGAGGCUGCACUGUGUGGAGAAGGAAUGAGCUCAGAAGAAUGUGUAACAGACAGCAGACACCAACCCUGAAGCUUUCUGCUGCAUCCAAAAUACAGCUUCAAAUUGAUCUGUAAAUUCCAUAGCUACUGAAACUUGGGACGUUUUAGCCGUCUGCCAUUGUACACCAGAGGAGUGGUGUCUCUGCUGCCUAUGGACUGAAGUUCAGCCAGCUGUGAUCUCAUAGUCCCUGGGAUCCAAUGAAGCGGUACAGGUAUCUGGUUAUGAUAACGCCAUCUGUGCCUCUAAUCUGGCAGACUUCUAAAUGAAGGUGAAAAAUCACAGCUCCAAAGGAAAGGAGUCAUGGGUGGCCCUAAAUUUUCACCAGAUGACUUCUAGAAU